GACGAACGCUGGCGGCGUGCCUAAUACAUGCAAGUCGAACGAACUCUGGUAUUGAUUGGUGCUUGCAUCAUGAUUUACAUUUGAGUGAGUGGCGAACUGGUGAGUAACACGUGGGAAACCUGCCCAGAAGCGGGGGAUAACACCUGGAAACAGAUGCUAAUACCGCAUAACAACUUGGACCGCAUGGUCCGAGCUUGAAAGAUGGCUUCGGCUAUCACUUUUGGAUGGUCCCGCGGCGUAUUAGCUAGAUGGUGGGGUAACGGCUCACCAUGGCAAUGAUACGUAGCCGACCUGAGAGGGUAAUCGGCCACAUUGGGACUGAGACACGGCCCAAACUCCUACGGGAGGCAGCAGUAGGGAAUCUUCCACAAUGGACGAAAGUCUGAUGGAGCAACGCCGCGUGAGUGAAGAAGGGUUUCGGCUCGUAAAACUCUGUUGUUAAAGAAGAACAUAUCUGAGAGUAACUGUUCAGGUAUUGACGGUAUUUAACCAGAAAGCCACGGCUAACUACGUGCCAGCAGCCGCGGUAAUACGUAGGUGGCAAGCGUUGUCCGGAUUUAUUGGGCGUAAAGCGAGCGCAGGCGGUUUUUAAGUCUGAUGUGAAAGCCUUCGGCUCAACCGAAGAAGUGCAUCGGAAACUGGGAAACUUGAGUGCAGAAGAGGACAGUGGAACUCCAUGUGUAGCGGUGAAAUGCGUAGAUAUAUGGAAGAACACCAGUGGCGAAGGCGGCUGUCUGGUCUGUAACUGACGCUGAGGCUCGAAAGUAUGGGUAGCAAACAGGAUUAGAUACCCUGGUAGUCCAUACCGUAAACGAUGAAUGCUAAGUGUUGGAGGGUUUCCGCCCUUCAGUGCUGCAGCUAACGCAUUAAGCAUUCCGCCUGGGGAGUACGGCCGCAAGGCUGAAACUCAAAGGAAUUGACGGGGGCCCGCACAAGCGGUGGAGCAUGUGGUUUAAUUCGAAGCUACGCGAAGAACCUUACCAGGUCUUGACAUACUAUGAAAAUCUAAGAGAUUAGACGUUCCCUUCGGGGACAUGGAUACAGGUGGUGCAUGGUUGUCGUCAGCUCGUGUCGUGAGAUGUUGGGUUAAGUCCCGCAACGAGCGCAACCCUUAUUAUCAGUUGCCAGCAUUAAGUUGGGCACUCUGGUGAGACUGCCGGUGACAAACCGGAGGAAGGUGGGGAUGACGUCAAAUCAUCAUGCCCCUUAUGACCUGGGCUACACACGUGCUACAAUGGAUGGUACAACGAGUUGCGAACUCGCGAGAGUAAGCUAAUCUCUUAAAGCCAUUCUCAGUUCGGAUUGUAGGCUGCAACUCGCCUACAUGAAGUCGGAAUCGCUAGUAAUCGCGGAUCAGCAUGCCGCGGUGAAUACGUUCCCGGGCCUUGUACACACCGCCCGUCACACCAUGAGAGUUUGUAACACCCAAAGUCGGUGGGGUAACCUUUUAGGAACCAGCCGCCUAAGGUGGGACAGAUGAUUAGGGUG
rnacentral:rRNA from 1 species